rnacentral:rRNA from 1 species
UCCUACGGGAGGCAGCAGUGGGGAAUAUUGCACAAUGGGCGAAAGCCUGAUGCAGCGACGCCGCGUGAGGGAUGACGGCCUUCGGGUUGUAAACCUCUUUCAGUAGGGAAGAAGCGUAAGUGACGGUACCUGCAGAAGAAGCGCCGGCUAACUACGUGCCAGCAGCCGCGGUAAUACGUAGGGCGCAAGCGUUAUCCGGAAUUAUUGGGCGUAAAGAGCUCGUAGGCGGUUUGUCG